rnacentral:rRNA from 1 species
GCGCGAAAACUUUACAAUGCUGGCAACAGCGAUAAGGGAACCUCGAGUGCCAGGUUACAAAUCUGGCUGUCGAGAUGCCUAAAAAGCAUUUCAUAGCAGGGGCCGGGCAAGACCGGUGCCAGCCGCCGCAGUAACACCGGCGGCUCGAGUGGUAACCGUUAUUAUUGGGUCUAAAGGGUCUGUAGCCGGCCGGAUAAGUCUCUUGAGAAAUCUGGCAGCUUAACUGUCAGGCUUUCAGGAGAUACUGUCUGGCUCGAGGCCGGGAGAGGUGAGAGGUACUUCAGGGGUAGGGGUGAAAUCUUGUAAUCCUUGAAGGACCACCAGUGGCGAAGGCGUCUCACCAGAACGGACCUGACGGCAAGGGACGAAAGCUAGGGGCACGAACCG